rnacentral:rRNA from 1 species
UACGGGGGGGGCAAGCGUUGUUCGGAAUUACUGGGCGUAAAGGGCUCGUAGGCGGCCAACUAAGUCGGAUGUGAAAUCCCCAAGCUUAACUUGGGAACUGCAUCCGAUACUGGAUGGCUUGAAUCCGGGAGAGGGAUGCAGAAUUCCAGGUGUAGCGGUGAAAUGCGUAGAUAUCUGGAGGAACACCGGUGGCGAAGGCGGCAUCCUGGACCAAUUCUGACGCUGAGUGAGCGAAAGCCAGGGGAGCAAACGGGG